rnacentral:tmRNA from 1 species
GGGGGCGAACCUGGUUUCGACGUGGAUUACGAAGCUCAAAGUGCAUGUCGAGGAUGUAACUUACCUCGUAAAAAAUGUUACAAAACAAAUAGUUGCCAACAAAAAACGCAACUUCGCUAAUGAUGCUCGCUUCGUAGAAGCUGAAGCAAUCGCCGCUUAAACACCGGCAUAGCGCCAUCCACCGAUUGUGCUUGUACGAUUGGACGUUUACCGCAAGGCAAACACGGGUGGUCAGAUGAUACAAGCUCGUGGAAUGAUCUGCCCGAGAUCAAACCACUAAAUAAAAUGAGGGAUCGCUAUUUUAACAUCCUGCCAAUCGGAGGUGAAAUAGCUAAAUAAAAUGAUUGGAUACACAUGUAGACCCAAGAGUAGAGAGUUUGCGGACGCGGGUUCAAUUCCCGCCGCCUCCACCA